rnacentral:tRNA from 1 species
CUGGCGGAUCGGCAGGCUUUCGGCAGCCGCUUUCAGCGCGGCGCGCCGCGUGCCGCGCGGUCGAUGGC